rnacentral:tRNA from 1 species
GUCCCCAUCGUCUAGCGGCCUAGGACCCCACCCUUUCAAGGUGGUAACACGGAUUCGAAUUCCGUUGGGGAUACCA